rnacentral:rRNA from 1 species
CGAACAGACGAGGAGCUUGCUCCUCUGACGUUAGCGGCGGACGGGUGAGUAACACGUGGAUAACCUACCUAUAAGACUGGGAUAACUUCGGGAAACCGGAGCUAAUACCGGAUAAUAUAUUGAACCGCAUGGUUCAAUAGUGAAAGACGGUUUUGCUGUCACUUAUAGAUGGAUCCGCGCCGCAUUAACUAGUUGGUAAGGUAACGGCUUACCAAGGCAACGAUGCGUAGCCGACCUGAGAGGGUGAUCGGCCACACUGGAACUGAGACACGGUCCAGACUCCUACGGGAGGCAGCAGUAGGGAAUCUUCCGCAAUGGGCGAAAGCCUGACGGAGCAACGCCGCGUGAGUGAUGAAGGUCUUCGGAUCGUAAAACUCUGUUAUUAGGGAAGAACAAAUGUGUAAGUAACUAUGCACGUCUUGACGGUACCUAAUCAGAAAGCCACGGCUAACUACGUGCCAGCAGCCGCGGUAAUACGUAGGUGGCAAGCGUUAUCCGGAAUUAUUGGGCGUAAAGCGCGCGUAGGCGGUUUUUUAAGUCUGAUGUGAAAGCCCACGGCUCAACCGUGGAGGGUCAUUGGAAACUGAAAAACUUGAGUGCAGAAGAGGAAAGUGGAAUUCCAUGUGUAGCGGUGAAAUGCGCAGAGAUAUGGAGGAACACCAGUGGCGAAGGCGACUUUCUGGUCUGUAACUGACGCUGAUGUGCGAAAGCGUGGGG